AUUGAACGCUGGCGGCAUGCCUUACACAUGCAAGUCGAACGGUAACGCGGGGCAACCUGGCGACGAGUGGCGAACGGGUGAGUAAUGCAUCGGAACGUGCCCAGUAGUGUGGGAUAGCCCGGCGAAAGCCGGAUUAAUACCGCAUACGACCUACGGGUGAAAGGGGGGGAUCGCAAGACCUCUCGCUAUUGGAGCGGCCGAUGUCAGAUUAGCUAGUUGGGGGGGUAAAAGCCUACCAAGGCGACGAUCUGUAGCUGGUCUGAGAGGACGACCAGCCACACUGGGACUGAGACACGGCCCAGACUCCUACGGGAGGCAGCAGUGGGGAAUUUUGGACAAUGGGCGAAAGCCUGAUCCAGCCAUGCCGCGUGCGGGAAGAAGGCCUUCGGGUUGUAAACCGCUUUUGUCAGGGAAGAAAUCUUCUGAGUUAAUACCUCGGGAGGAUGACGGUACCUGAAGAAUAAGCACCGGCUAACUACGUGCCAGCCGCCGCGGUAA
rnacentral:rRNA from 1 species